rnacentral:miRNA from 1 species
CAAUGGUGUGUGUGUGUGGUGUUUGUAAGGGGAUAUAUAUAUAUAUAUAUACACACAUAUAUAUAUGUACACACACAUACACACACACACACACACACACACACAUAUAUAUAUAUAUAUAUACACACACAC